AACAUUACCUAAUAAAAUAACCUACAGAAACUUAAAAUAGUAUCUGAAGAUUUCUUAGACAUAAACAAGGGAAAACGACAAACCGAACGAAAACCGGGCAGCGCUUCUCCUUUUCCAUAGGGUGUGGGAGAGAAAAAGAAAGGGCGGGCGUGGACAGUCACUGGAUUUCUCUUUCUCUAAUAACUUUAGCAAAAGCUGGACUUGCACUUGGCCACUCGACG
ensembl:ncRNA C42D8.11 ncRNA